AUUGAACGCUGGCGGCAUGCCUUACACAUGCAAGUCGAACGGCAGCACGGGAGCAAUCCUGGUGGCGAGUGGCGAACGGGUGAGUAAUACAUCGGAACGUGCCCAGUAGUGGGGGAUAACCCGGCGAAAGCCGGACUAAUACCGCAUACGACCUACGGGUGAAAGCGGGGGAUCGCAAGACCUCGCGCUAUCGGAGCGGCCGAUGUCAGAUUAGCUAGUUGGUGGGGUAAAGGCCUACCAAGGCGACGAUCUGUAGCUGGUCUGAGAGGACGACCAGCCACACUGGGACUGAGACACGGCCCAGACUCCUACGGGAGGCAGCAGUGGGGAAUUUUGGACAAUGGGCGCAAGCCUGAUCCAGCCAUGCUGCGUGCGGGAAGAAGGCCUUCGGGUUGUAAACCGCUUUUGUCAGGGAAGAAACGCUCCGGGCUAAUACCACGGAGUAAUGACGGUACCUGAAGAAUAAGCACCGGCUAACUACGUG
rnacentral:rRNA from 1 species